rnacentral:rRNA from 1 species
GAUGAACGCUAGCUACAGGCUUAACACAUGCAAGUCGAGGGGCAGCAUGAACUUAGCUUGCUAAGUUUGAUGGCGACCGGCGCACGGGUGAGUAACACGUAUCCAACCUUCCGUUUACUCAGGGAUAGCCUUUCGAAAGAAAGAUUAAUACCUGAUAGUAUGGUGAGAUUGCAUGAUAGCACCAUUAAAGAUUUAUUGGUAAACGAUGGGGAUGCGUUCCAUUAGGUAGUAGGCGGGUAACGGCCCACCUAGCCGACGAUGGAUAGGGGUUCUGAGAGGAAGGUCCCCCACAUUGGAACUGAGACACGGUCCAAACUCCUACGGGAGGCAGCAGUGAGGAAUAUUGGUCAAUGGGCGAGAGCCUGAACCAGCCAAGUAGCGUGAAGGAUGAAGGUCCUACGGAUUGUAAACUUCUUUUAUACGGGAAUAAAGUAUCCUACGUGUAGGAUUUGUAUGUACCGUAUGAAUAAGCAUCGGCUAAUCCGUG